CUGCUACAAAUCAACAAAACUGUGGCAGUCAAAAGUUGCUUCUAUGGUAGAAAGUCAUACUCUCAGCAUCGUUUUGAUAAGGCAAAUCUCGAGACCUAGGAGCUAAGACCAUUAAUUGACAACUAUGGUGACAUGCACCGUCAUGGGUAGAAUUUUAUCAAUCCGGACGCGGAAUAUGCAUUUGCUCAGAUGGAAGGGGAAAGAACCACACAGAUGACACAAUCUGCUGGCGAAGGUUCAUCCACGGCGGUCAAUAAGGAGGGGAUUAUGUCCCAAGUCUUG